rnacentral:pre_miRNA from 1 species
UCAACCCAAGGUAUGGCCUAGAUAACUCGGGUAUCACAUCUUUAUGCAUUCGAUAUCUGGUGAGAUAAUUCACGUUGUCUAAACCAUGUUUUGUAAGAAAUAA